rnacentral:rRNA from 1 species
AAUGAACGUUGGCGGCGUGGAUUAGGCAUGCAAGUCGAGCGGAAAGGCCCGCAAGGGCACUCGAGCGGCGUAAGGGACAGUAAUGUGUAGGUACGUACCCCUGGGUCCAGGAUAGCUGCGGGAAACUGCAAUUAAUACUAGAUGAUGUCUCCGGACCAAAGGUGUGAUUCCACCCAGGGAGCGGCCUACAUCCUAUUAGCUAGUUGGUGAGGUGACGGCUCACCAAGGCGAAGAUGGGUAGCAGGUGUGAGAGCACGACCUGCGUCACUGGGACUGAGACACUGCCCAGACACCUACGGGUGGCUGCAGUCGAGAAUCUUCGGCAAUGGGCGAAAGCCUGACCGAGCGACGCCGCGUGCGGGAUGAAGGCCUGGUGUAACGACUGUCGAGGGAGUGAAUGCCGAUGGGUACGUCCAACGGCUUGACUGAUCCUCGGAGGAAGGGUGGG